CCGGCGGAGACGGGGGCAGUGGAGAUGGCCGCGGAGGGGCGAGCUGAGGGUCCAGCCCCGCGAAGACCGGGGCUGGCAGAGAGUGGUGGUGGGUCGAGGAGCGGCGCUCCUUGUCGGGCGUCCAUCGUGUGCCCCGCUCCUGUUUACCCCGCCUCCCUGCAAGUGUGUAUUUACAUUCACAACACAGCUCAAGUCGGACUGACAACAUCUCAAGGGCUCAGCCGCCACAUCUUGCUGGUGGCUACCUUUUCGGACCACACAGUGCCAGAUGAAGAAACAGAAAAGAAACAAAGAGGGGAAAAGUGGUAAGAUAAAAAGUAAAUCGGGAAGGGAAAUGGGGAAUGUCAAGGUUGCAAUUUAAAAGAGGGUGGUUGGGAAGGCCUCAGUAUGAGAAGAUGGCAUUUGCAGGAAGACCUGAAAGAGCUGAGGACACUGAACAGAUAACUACACUCUUCAUUGUUUAGUGCAACACUGUCCAGUAGAGGCUUCUGAGAUAAUGAGUAGGUCCUAUACCUCUGCUGUCCAGUUCUGUAGCCAUUUGGUUUUUGGGUGCUUGACAUGUGGCCAGUGGCACUGAGGAACUGUUGUAUCCCCAGGUCUAAGCGCCUGCACCUGGUGCAUUCUGGGUGAUUAAAAAGCAUUGAUGGUCUAGAAGAAACAAUACCCCAAUAGCAACAAGGACACUUAGAGCCCAGAUCUUGGUUUCUAAUACCAAUUUCCAAUUUAAAUUGAAUUAGUUAAUUUUAAUUAAUUAAAAUGUAAAUACCCACGUAGGACUAGUGUUUCUUGUAGUGUACAGCACCAGUUUAAUACAACAGUAGCGAGUACUCUGAAAUGGAUGCAUACUGCAUGUUAAAAACUAUGUGUGUUGUCAUGGAUUGAAUUAUAUCUCCCCAAAAAUGGGUAUCAAUUUGGCUGGGCCGUGAUUCCUGGUAUUUUGUGGUUGUCCUCCAUUUUGUGAUUGUAGUUUUAUAUUAAAGAGGAUUAGGGUGGGAUUGUAACAUCUGUACUAAAAUCACAUCCCUGAGCCAAUUGUAAAGGGGGUUUCCCUGGGUUGUGGCCUGCACCACCUUAUAUCUCUCAAAAAAUAAAAGGAAAGGAAAGCAAGCAGAGAGUUGGGGACCUCAUACCACCAAGAAAGAAGCAUCGGGAGCAGUGUGCUUCCCUUCGACCUGGGGUUCCGGCGAGGAGAAGCUCCUAGUCCAGGGGAAGAUUGAUGAGAAGGACCUUCCUCCAGAGCUGAAAGAGAGGGAAAGCCUUCCCCUGGAGCUAAUGCCCUGAAUUUGGACUUCUAACCUAUUAGACUGUGAGAAAAUUAAUUUCUCUUUGUUAAAGCCAUCCAUUUGUGGUAUUUCUGUUAUAGCAGCACUAGAUGAUUCAGACAUGUGUUCUCCCCCGUCAUCUUUUCAAUUGUUAUAUGAGAUGGUAGCUAUGAUUGUCACCAUGAUGAAGAAUGAAGUCCUUCAUUUGUUCAUUAAUACUUAAAAAAUUAUCAUUAAUAAUAAAACCCCCAAACCCCUUGUUGUCAAGUCGAUUCUGACUCAUAGCGACCCUAUAGGAUGGAGUAGAACUGCCCCAUAGGGUUUCCUAGAAACAGCUGGUGGAUUCAAACUGCAGACCUUUUGGUUGCAGCCGAGCUCUUAACCACUACAUCAUCAGCGCUCCAUUAUUAGUAAUAGACUUUAUUUUUGUAGGACAGUUUUAGAUUUACAGAAAAGUUGAGAAUUUAUAUAGAAAGUUCUUAUAUACUUUAUACCCAGUUUCCUCUAUUAGUAACAUCUUACCUUAAUAUGUGUUGAAAGUAAUGAGAUAAUACCAAUACAUAACUGUUAACUAAAGCCCUAGCUUAUUUAGGUUUCUUUAGUUUUUACCUAACGUCCUUUCUCUGUUCCAGGAUUCCAUCCAGGAUCCCAUAUGACGUUUAAUUACCAUGUCGCCUUAGAUUCCUCUUGGCUGUGGCAGUGCCCAUAUUUUUGAUGACCUUGACAGUUUUGAGGAGUACUGAUCAGGAGGAGAACCAGGCGUGGAUGCAGAGAAUGAACGGAAGAGGAGGGAGACCUCACGGGAGAGCCACAGAGCUGGAGGGGAAUGGAGAGAGGGUGGGGAUUCCCCACGUUUAAGAGGGCUCAGCGACCAAGGAAAUCCGGAGAAGGUGGAGGCCAGAUGCAUUAGAUACAGUGGCGUGGGGGGUGCCAUCCACUUUGAACUUGAUCUCACCUUCCAUGCUGCGGGAGCUGCAGGUUCCAUUUCCGGCCAUGUAGCUCAGCACAGCCACCACCCAUCUGUUGUGGUGGCAGCUGAGUUCUUUAGGGGCUGGAUUUCCGUCUGGUUCCGUCUCAGGUGUGAAGGGGUCAGCCAUGGAAACUUUAUUUUUAUUGACCAGUUGAGUUUAUUGUUAGGGUAACCACAGUUUGAAGUUCAUUUCCCUGGUUUGGUCAGAGUUGGAGGAGAAAGUCACCACAACAGCAUCCUCCCAGGCGGGGCCCUUUGUGUUUCCUCCUUGUGUGCAUUUCUGACCUGAAGAGGCUGGCCUGGGAGCAGGCACAAAAGUGCCGGCCUUUGGUUCAGAAAUUGCCGUGCUGAUAACGGAACUUCUCUGAGCCUCCGUUUGCUCAUUUGUGAAAGGUGAUACCGCCUACCUUGGGAACACAUGUAAAGCUGGCACUUAGCGGAGCACUUGAACACAGAGGCUGCUGUCAUGGCGGAGUCCUUGGGUGGUGCAAACAGUUAACGAACUCAGCUGCUCACCGAAAGGUUGGAGUUCCAGUCUACCCAGAGGUGCCUCAGAAGAAAGGCCGGGUGAUCUCCUGAAAACUCAGCUAUUGAGAACACAAUGGAGCACAGUUCUACUCUGACACACACGGGGUCACCAUGAGUCGGAGCUGACGGUAACUGGUAGCCAUCAUAGUAACAGCCCGGGAAAGUCCUGGGGUGAGUGCCCCAGACAGCAGUAAGGGCCACUCCUUGUCUUAGAGUUACCUCUUCUGUGAAACACUACAUGAGAUAACAUGGGUCACUGACGUGAGCAAGCCUGGGAAGUUUUAUCUUCCAGAGUUAUCUUUCUGGCAAGAACAGUGAAGGACAUCUUAUCUCCUGUGGGGUCAACAGGUUAGGAAAAGCCCCAAACAGCUCUGAUGCCUAGGGUUAUCAGGUGGCCUGCUUUCUUUUCUCGCUUUCUCUUUCAGGUGUUCUGGUGUGCACAAUAAAUCACACAGUCACCCUUGAUCCUCCGGUGACUUAUGCGGUAGUUACCGCUAUCGCUUUUUUUUCCUUAAUUUUUAAUCCAACUGUUCUUCUUUGUGCUGUGUUUUUUCUCUUUUUGCUUUGUCUCUAAUAAACGUUUUACAUGUA